rnacentral:rRNA from 1 species
CCUACGGGGGGCUGCAGUGGGGAAUAUUGGACAAUGGGCGAAAGCCUGAUCCAGCCAUGCCGCGUGUGUGAAGAAGGCCUUCGGGUUGUAAAGCACUUUCAGUGGGGAAGAAAGCCUUGGGGCUAAUACCCUCGAGGAAGGACAUCACCCACAGAAGAAGCACCGGCUAACUCCGUGCCAGCAGCCGCGGUAAUACGGAGGGUGCGAGCGUUAAUCGGAAUUACUGGGCGUAAAGCGCGCGUAGGCGGUCUGAUAAGCCGGUUGUGAAAGCCCCGGGCUCAACCUGGGAACGGCAUCCGGAACUGUCAGGCUAGAGUGCAGGAGAGGAUGGUAGAAUUCCCGGUGUAGCGGUGAAAUGCGUAGAGAUCGGGAGGAAUACCAGUGGCGAAGGCGGCCUUCUGGACUGACCCUGACGCUGAGGUGCGAAAGCGUGGGUAGCAAACAGGAUUAGAUACCCCGGUAGUC